GCUCUUCUGGCGCAAUGGUAGCGCGUCACACUCCUAAUGUGAAGGUUCCGAGUUCAAGUCUCGGGUAGAGUA